GGGGAUAUUGCUCAGUUGGUAGACUUUUUGCUUGGCAUGCAUAAGGCCCUGGGUUCAAUCACAAGCACCCCCC
rnacentral:tRNA from 1 species